rnacentral:misc_RNA from 1 species
AAGUCGUAACAAGGUUUCCGUAGGUGAACCUGCGGAAGGAUCAUUAUCGAGUUUUGACCGGGUUGUAGCUGGCCUUCAGAGGCAUGUGCACGCCCUGCUCAUCCACUCUACACCUGUGCACUUACUGUGGGCUUCAGAUCGCGAGGCAGGCUCUUUACCGGGCUUGCGGAGCGCAUCUGUGCCUGCGUUUAUCACAAACUCUAUAAAGUAACAGAAUGUGUAUUGCGAUGUAACGCAUCUAUAUACAACUUUCAGCAACGGAUCUCUUGGCUCUC